CAAAAACAUGUCCUUUUGUUUAUAAAUAUAAGGUCUAGCCUGCCCAAUGAUUUUAAUUUAAUGGCCGCGGUAUUUUAACUGUGCUAAGGUAGCAUAAUCAAUUGUCUUUUAAUUAAAGGCUAGAAUGAACGGCUGGACGAGGUAUAAGCUUUCUUUGAUUUAAUUUAUGAAUUUAAUUUUUUAGUUAAAAAGCUUAAAUGUAUUUGAGGGACGAGAAGACCCCAUAGAUCUUUAUAAAUGAAAAUAUUAUAUAUUUUAGUGGAUUAUAUAUAAUAAUAUUUUCAUUUAAUUGGUUGGGGUGACUUUAGAAUUAAAAUAACUUCUAUUUUUUAAAAUCAUUAAUUAGUGUUUAUUUGAUCCAGUUUUAUUGAUUAUAAGAUUAAGUUACCUUGGGGAUAACAGCGUAAUUCUUUUGGAGAGCUCAUAUCGAUAAAGGAGUUUGCGACCUCGAUGUUGGAUUAAAAUAAGUUUUAGGUGUAGUAGCUUAAAAACUAGGUCUGUUCGACCUUUAAUUUUUUACAUGAUCUGAGUU
rnacentral:rRNA from 1 species